GCUGAUGCGUUGUUGGGUAGGGGAGCGUUCUGUAAGCCUGCGAAGGUGACCUGUGAGGGUUGCUGGAGGUAUCAGAAGUGCGAAUGCUGACAUAAGUAACGAUAAAGCGGGUGAAAAGCCCGCUCGCCGGAAGACCAAGGGUUCCUGUCCAACGUUAAUCGGGGCAGGGUGAGUCGACCCCUAAGGCGAGGCCGAAAGGCGUAGUCGAUGGGAAACGGGUUAAUAUUCCCGUACUUGGUGUUACUGCGAAGGGGGGACGGAGAAGGCUAUGUUGGCCGGGCGACGGUUGUCCCGGUUUAAGCGUGUAGGUGUGUGUUCCAGGUAAAUCCGGUUCACUUUAACACUGAGGCGUGAUGACGAGGCACUACGGUGCUGAAGCAACAAAUGCCCUGCUUCCAGGAAAAGCCUCUAAGCAUCAGGUAACAUCAAAUCGUACCCCAAACCGACACAGGUGGUCAGGUAGAGAAUACCAAGGCGCUUGAGAGAACUCGGGUGAAGGAACUAGGCAAAAUGGUGCCGUAACUUCGGGAGAAGGCACGCUGACACGUAGGUGAAGUGAUUUACUCACGGAGCUGAAGUCAGUCGAAGAUACCAGCUGGCUGCAACUGUUUAUUAAAAACACAGCACUGUGCAAACACGAAAGUGGACGUAUACGGUGUGACGCCUGCCCGGUGCCGGAAGGUUAAUUGAUGGGGUCAGCGCAAGCGAAGCUCCUGAUCGAAGCCCCGGUAAACGGCGGCCGUAACUAUAACGGUCCUAAGGUAGCGAAAUUCCUUGUCGGGUAAGUUCCGACCUGCACGAAUGGCGUAAUGAUGGCCAGGCUGUCUCCACCCGAGACUCAGUGAAAUUGAACUCGCUGUGAAGAUGCAGUGUACCCGCGGCAAGACGGAAAGACCCCGUGAACCUUUACUAUAGCUUGACACUGAACAUUGAGCCUUGAUGUGUAGGAUAGGUGGGAGGCUUUGAAGUGUGGACGCCAGUCUGCAUGGAGCCGACCUUGAAAUACCACCCUUUAAUGUUUGAUGUUCUAACGUGGACCCGUAAUCCGGGUUGCGGACAGUGUCUGGUGGGUAGUUUGACUGGGGCGGUCUCCUCCUAAAGAGUAACGGAGGAGCACGAAGGUUGGCUAAUCCUGGUCGGACAUCAGGAGGUUAGUGCAAUGGCAUAAGCCAGCUUGACUGCGAGCGUGACGGCGCGAGCAGGUGCGAAAGCAGGUCAUAGUGAUCCGGUGGUUCUGAAUGGAAGGGCCAUCGCUCAACGGAUAAAAGGUACUCCGGGGAUAACAGGCUGAUACCGCCCAAGAGUUCAUAUCGACGGCGGUGUUUGGCACCUCGAUGUCGGCUCAUCACAUCCUGGGGCUGAAGUAGGUCCCAAGGGUAUGGCUGUUCGCCAUUUAAAGUGGUACGCGAGCUGGGUUUAGAACGUCGUGAGACAGUUCGGUCCCUAUCUGCCGUGGGCGCUGGAGAACUGAGGGGGGCUGCUCCUAGUACGAGAGGACCGGAGUGGACGCAUCACUGGUGUUCGGGUUGUCAUGCCAAUGGCACUGCCCGGUAGCUAAAUGCGGAAGAGAUAAGUGCUGAAAGCAUCUAAGCACGAAACUUGCCCCGAGAUGAGUUCUCCCUGAGAC
rnacentral:rRNA from 1 species